rnacentral:rRNA from 1 species
CCUACGGGAGGCAGCAGUGGGGAAUCUUGCGCAAUGGGCGAAAGCCUGACGCAGCAACGCCGCGUGCGGGAUGAAGGCCUUCGGGCUGUAAACCGCUUUCAGCAGGAACGAAAAUGACGGUACCUGCAGAAGAAGGAGCGGCCAACUACGUGCCAGCAGCCGCGGUGACACGUAGGCUCCAAGCGUUGUCCGGAUUUAUUGGGCGUAAAGAGCUCGUAGGCGGUCUAGUAAGUCGGGUGUGAAAACUCUGGGCUCAACCCAGAGACGCCAUCCGAUACUGCUAUGACUUGAGUUCAGGAGGGGAGCGGGGAAUUCCUAGUGUAGCGGUGAAAUGCGCAGAUAUUAGGAGGAACACCGGUGGCGAAGGCGCCGCUCUGGACUGAAACUGACGCUGAGGAGCGAAAGCAUGGGUAGCAAACAGGAUUAGAUACCCUGGUAGUCCAUGCCGUAAACGGUGGGCACUAGGUGUGGGUUUCAACUAACGAAAUCCGCGCCGUCGCUAACGCAUUAAGUGCCCCGCCUGGGGAGUACGGUCGCAAGCUAAAACUCAAAGGAAUUGACGG